rnacentral:rRNA from 1 species
AUGCACGCUACACAACAAGGCAGACCGGCCAGUUCCUCGAAAUCUAGGUCAUGUUCGGCUCUCCGCGGUAACACCAGUUUGCAUGCUCGUAAGCCAUCCGCUGCUGCAACCAAAACUGUUGUACAAGCGAAGCCAAAGAAGACCAAAGAGCUGGAAGAAGCUGAUAACGAAAUCAGAAAACUGAACAACUUGGGCUUGGGAGACGAUAUCAGCAACGAACAGUAUCGUGUUUAUCUCAACCAGCUGCCUCGCAAGCCUGAUGUCGACGUCUGCACCAAGCUGGAUGCUGUGCAGCUCAAGGAGCUCAAUGUGCGCCAUGCGUUGUAUCGCAACAAGUAUUAUCAGCUGUCACAACACGUGCCUGAGGAUAAGCUUUGCUAUGAUAAACUGAAGGAGGACUACCCACCUGGCCAUCGUCCUGUGGGGCAGGGAUCUUUUAAGUGCUCUGAGGAAGAUGGCGAAUUAGAUUGGUCUUUCCACCCUGACUACUGCAAACUUGCUGGCCUGGAGGACUACCAACGGCUGGUCCCUCGAAAUUAUGGUGGUUUUGAGUAUGUCAAUUGGGAUGAGUACCACAAGGAUUGUCAUAGCUAUGAAAUAGAACAAGAAUAUGUCAAAUUUUGUGAAGAAUUGUCCAAGAAACUUAAGUGGAUUGAAGCUUAUGUGUUAAAUAAGCCUCCAUCUCUUAUGUGGGGAAAGAUUUUGACCAGAGGAUCUUACCAAGCAAUCAAGAUCGCUACUGACUUCUCGAAGAUAUACGAUGGCUUAGCCUUUUCUGGCUUCUACGAAUGGUUAGAUAGCAUGGGUUUUGAUGUGUGUUGCUACAACGAGUUUGAUGGUCUCUAUUACGAGAUUUGGCAAAGGUACAACAUGGAGAAGAAAUUCAGAGAUGCUCUGUAUGAAGUCUAUGAACUUAACAUGUUUCCAUUACGCCAAGAAAGAACGAGACGUGCAUUGGAGAAUGACACAUUCUGCUCCGACUUGGAAGAAGAGUUUCUUGCUUGCACAGCUUGCCUCGAUGAAUUUGCAGAUGACAAAAGCCAGAUUUCAGAGGAUAAAGCCCGGGAGUUGAUUGCAGAGGCACUUAGAAAGGAGACGCAGAAACCAAAGUUCUAUGAGGAUUAUUGUAGGAAGAAGCUAGAUAUUGCUCAAGCUAUUGGAUUAAUUCCCAGCAUACCGUCUUAA